GACAAUACCCCUGGAACAAUGUGGGCUUACGUGUCUUGCUCAAGGGCACUGUGGCGGUGGCUUAUGAAACCAUACUACCGUGUGCCCCUGCUGAAGAAGAAGGAGGGUUCUUAGAACCAAGAAGGUCUAUAAAACCUGGAGAGAACUAAUCAUUAGCAACCCAUUUCAUCGCAAUGGCAGUUUGUUGGCUGGCACAGGAACCCUCAGAAGUAUUCAACCAGCUUUCUGCCAUCUUUUCAUGUGGAGAUUCUGACGCUUUACUGAGCCAUCGGAUCUUCAUUUGUGUUCUGAAGAUGAAGGAAGGUCUUAC